GGGUCCCGUGUGGGGGCGGGGCUUACUGGACAGUGGCUCCAGGGCCACCUCGAAGCUCUCCUUCUUGAACUCCGUCUUGGUGACGCCCGUGUAGAAGGUGAUGUUGCCCGACAGGUCCCCAACACGUCUGUGGGACAGCCAGGCCUGCUGGCCCGCUGCAGAACAGCCCAGUGGCACCUCACCCAAACCCACGUGAGCUCCGGGAGACGGGGAGCAUCCACCACUCAGAAACUUGGAAGGCACAAAGGAGGUCGUCAACCCAAGAUUCUUACGGAAAGUGCUCUGAACACCAGCAACCAACCAACGAGCCGACCAGUCACCCACAACCACCCACCCACCAACCAGCCAACCACCAACACGCCUUCAGACACCCCACCACCAACAAACCAGCCAGCAACCAAUCAACUUGCCAACCAACAACAGAACUGCAACCACUCAACCACCAACAAAUCGGCCAACAACCACCAAAAACC